CAAGUACUCCCUCCAUCCGGAAAUACUUGUCACAAAAAUGCAUAAAAAUGGAUGUAUCUAGAAUAAAAUAUAUCUAGAUACAUCCAUUCCUCCGACAAGUAUUUCCGGACGGAGGGAGUAUUAU
rnacentral:pre_miRNA from 1 species